rnacentral:rRNA from 1 species
GACGAACGCUGGCGGCGUGCUUAACACAUGCAAGUCGAACGAAGAGCGAUGGAAGCUUGCUUCUCUCAAUCUUAGUGGCGAACGGGUGAGUAACGCGUAAUCAACCUGCCCUUCAGAGGGGGACAACAGUUGGAAACGACUGCUAAUACCGCAUACGAUCUAAUCUCGGCAUCGAGGAUAGAUGAAAGGUGGCCUCUACAUGUAAGCUAUCACUGAAGGAGGGGAUUGCGUCUGAUUAGCUAGUUGGAGGGGUAACGGCCCACCAAGGCGAUGAUCAGUAGCCGGUCUGAGAGGAUGAACGGCCACAUUGGGACUGAGACACGGCCCAGACUCCUACGGGAGGCAGCAGUGGGGAAUCUUCCGCAAUGGACGAAAGUCUGACGGAGCAACGCCGCGUGAGUGAUGACGGCCUUCGGGUUGUAAAGCUCUGUUAAUCGGGACGAAAGGCCAUCUUGCGAAUAGUGAGAAGGAUUGACGGUACCGGAAGAGAAAGCCACGGCUAACUACGUG